AGGAGCCGGAUGAGUCGAGAGAUUCACGUCCGGUUCUGUGAGGGCGUGAGGGUGCGAUUCCCUUGCGCCACUCGAC
rfam:Cupriavidus sp. TYMMa02A contig.76, whole genome shotgun sequence.